UCUAAUGUGGCAGAAUAGUGCAACGGAUUUAAGCCCCGUGUAUAAAUAUCCCUUUCUUUAGAA
rnacentral:tRNA from 1 species